AAAGCGUGCGCAGGCGGUGAUGUAAGACAGAUGUGAAAUCCCCGGGCUCAACCUGGGACCUGCAUUUGUGACUGCAUCGCUAGAGUACGGCAGAGGGGGAUGGAAUUCCGCGUGUAGCAGUGAAAUGCGUAGAUAUGCGGAGGAACACCGAUGGCGAAGGCAAUCCCCUGGGCCUGUACUGACGCUCAUGCACGAAAGCGUGGGGAGCAAACAGGAUUAGAUACCCCAGU
rnacentral:rRNA from 1 species